UUUGCAUCAGCUUCCUAGACUUCGUGAUGUCGGUGACAUGUCUCAACCCACUGUGCUCCUGACCGCUUUCACUGGGACUGCGGCAUACAACAUUUCAGGCAAAACUUUGCAUUCCAUCUUGAAGCUCCCCAAAAGCUUGAAGCCACCGUACAAGGGACUUGGAAAUGCCCUGGAUGAGGUCAGAGCAGUUCUUUCGAAUGUGGAAAUCUUGAUUAUUGAUGAAAUCUCUAUGGUCUCUAAAGAACUAUUGGCAUAUGUUCACUGGAGAUUUCAGCAGAUCAAAGGAAACACAAGGCCAUUUGGUGGGAUUUGUGUUCUUGCGGUGGGAGACUUUUACCAACUGCCCCCCUUGGGAGCUUCAAAACCUCUUUGUGUCAUGGAGGAUGGUGUACUUGAUCUCUGGAAUGAGAAUUUCUGCCUGGUAAGUCUUACAGAGAUCAUGCGACAGAAGGAUGACAAACUCUUUGCUGAGCUGCUUAACCGGCUUCGUGUCAAAAGGAAAGCUGAUGAUCUCAGCAAAGAGGACAGAACUUUGCUGACGCAGUGUGUUGCAGAUCCCAAGGAUUGUCCGUUGGAUGUGUUGCACAUUUUUGCAACAAACAAACAGGUGGAUGCACACAACGCUGCAGUGGUUGCCUCGUUAGGUACAGCUAUUGUUGAUGUUUACGCAGAGGAAUACAGGAGAGAAACAAAAACAGGAAACAUGAUUAGUUUGGGCAGAUGCGUUAGGGGCAACAGUCGAGAUUUGUGCGACCACAUCCAAGCUGGAUUGGGUAUUAGAGUCAUGAUAACGAAGGAACCUGGAUGUAGAGGAUGGCCUGGUGAAUGGAACCUUUGGAACGAUAGCAGACAUUGUUACCCACACCAAUGACAAAACGAUAACUGUGAAACUAAUCGGACUGAGACUGGACAAUUCCACGGCUGGACGUACCAAAAGAAUGCGUGGUAAACCAGACGACUUGGUUUACAUUGAGAGAUUCGAGGAGCAAAGCAGCGUGAGAGGAGUGGUGCGACGACAGUUUCCACUUAAAUUGGCCUUUGGGUGUACAGCACACAAAGUACAAGGGAUGACCAUGCAAUCUGCAGUUGUUUCUUUAAAACGUAUGUUUGCACCUGGCAUAGCGUAUGUGCGAUUAAGUCGUACAACUUCUUUGGGAGGGCUUAAAAUCAUCGAUUUUGAUGAGAAAAAGAUCUACGCUGAUGAAAGAAUCACAGCGACCAUGGAUACGAUGAGGCGAGCAUCGUUCACCAACACCAGCCCCCUCCUGCAUUUCCCAUCAAGUCCUCAGCACACUACAUUGAAAAUCAUCCACCACAACGUCGAAGGUCUUGUAUGUCACUAUGACGACAUGAAGCACCAUCAUGAACUGGGAUUGGCCGAUAUUCUCUGACUUACAGAAAGUCAUUUGUUUGGAUCUUCUUUUCCAGCUUCUUUGAAUAUGGAGGGUUAUUGUUUGUUUGCGCGCAACAGACACAGCUCCUACUCUAGCAGAGCCGACAUUGCUUCCAAGGAAGGGGGAGGAGUAGCAACUUACUGCAGGAGCAUUCUUCAACCUGAGGAACGCAGAUACUUUCACAAUGUUACAGAUCUUGAGUACAAUGUCAUUAGAUUGAACGCUCCGAUAUCACUCCUUGUUGCCACGGUUUACAGGCCACCCAGUUAUGAUCUUGCCAGCUUCUUGAAAAACAUUCAGAGCUUCUUGGAUGGUCUUGAUUGUAUUGAUAUUCAGCCGGUUGUUGUAUUGGGAGACUUCAAUGAAGAUCUUCUCUCUCCAGGAAAAACAGCAAUCAAGGACUUGUUUGAAAGCAAAGGAUUCACUCAGCUUAUCUCAUCUCCAACAACAAAAAAAGCACACCCUGAUUGAUCACAUUUACAUAUCUCGCCCAGAAUAUUGUGUCCAGUCAGGUGUAUUGCAGACAUAUUACAGUUACCACAACCCGGUAUACUGUAUUUUGUCUUCUUUGUCUGCUGCUGCCUCUCCUUCACUUUGACAUGUAAAAUGCAAUUGGACAGGAUAGUGUUGCUUUGUUCUUGAUUUAAUAGUUGCAAUCACAUAGCACAGCUGACUGUUACAACCCUCUUAAUAUUUUCUAAGUCUAACCAUGAGCCUACACUUUUUGCAGAAGAAUGACUCCUUUGAAUAUGUUUUAUGGCACAAUUUGUUUCCCUUUCUUAGCAGUGCUCCCAUUAGACUUUCCUUUGGUGGUGGUGGUUGUUAUUAUUGAUCAUGAGCCACUGCUUAUACAGAGCUAUGCAGACCACCAUGUUCCAGAAUGGCCAUUUUUGGCUACAUUUUAAAUCUGGGAAUGUGUAAUUAUUUUAUUUUUUGUUGCCACCCCGAUGCAUGCUUCAUCCUAUUCCCCUGCGUCUGCUUUCCACGCUAUGCAUGCUUCAACCUCUUGUUGCUGUCUCUGCUACCGCCCUGUGCCUGCUUGGAAAUGAUGUUGCACUUCAAGUUUACAGCUUUGUAUGUCAGGUUUUGGGUGAAAUUAACUCCUUUCCCCCCAAGUUUUUCUCUGUUUUGCAAGUUAUGCAAGGUGACACACAUAAGAUUGUGCUUGAAGAACAUCAAGAUUAACCUGGUAGACCUGGAAGGCAACCCACCAUUUGCAGCAAGGUGAUAUUGGGUACUGAGGUGUGUCAAGAGGUCUGUCUCAAUAUUCAGAGCUUUUGUGAAGAAUUUGCACUGGACUAAGUAUUACCGUGGACUGAAGGAAUGACCAGAUAGCCCUGUGACUGGCCAUAGUGUUCAGUUGGGCUUGUCAACCCACGCUGUAUACAAGAAGCAGUUUAGAAGGAAGACGCCACAGAACUAUAUAUAUAUAUAUUUUUUUUUUUCACUUUAUAACAAAGGAGCAGUUGCCCAAGAACUUUGAGCUAACCACUGAUGCACAAACACAUUGAUGUCUGCCACAUGCUCAAAAUGUCCUGAUAGCUUUUUGCCGUAUUGACAUACGAACAGUUUUUAUUUCACGAAUGUUUUUGAUUUUUCUCUUUUCCACUGACUUCCAUCAUCAUGUUGGCUUUUAUGUAUUAUACCUUGUUGCAUUACGUUGAUUGUUAAGGUUUUAUAAUUAAGAAUGGAAACUCUGUGCUACAGACACACACUAAGAUCUACAGUUCUUGCAAUCUUUUUGCUUUGUUAUGUAGACAACCAGGAUCUGAUGGGUAUCACAGAUCCAUAAAUUACUCAGGAUAAUUUUUUGAUUCAAUACGGGGUGUCUUCCCGCUCAGAUUGGGCCAGAGCGGGAUUCUCUUUGACUUGGCUGCAUCAGUUUUUUACCAUUUCUUAGACGAGGUGGCGUUUUUCUUGUGGAGGCUCAGCCCACCCUGUGAUGCCCCCUACUGAUACUCUUGGAUUUGUAAGGUUUAAGAGUGAUGCAUGUCUGUCCAUGGGGAUGGACACUGGAGGAUCAGGUAGGAGGUUUCUUGGGGUGGAGGUACAGUAGACGAAUUUGACCUUGGUUACUGAACAGUCUUAGCUUACCUAGUUUAAUGUAAAUUUAAAAUAAUGUGUGCAUAGCA